rnacentral:rRNA from 1 species
UACAGAGGUCUCAAGCGUUGUUCGGAAUUACUGGGCGUAAAGGGCUCGUAGGCGGCCAACUAAGUCAGACGUGAAAUCCCUCGGCUUAACCGGGGAACUGCGUCUGAUACUGGAUGGCUAGAGGUUGGGAGAGGGAUGCGGAAUUCCAGGUGUAGCGGUGAAAUGCGUAGAUAUCUGGAGGAACACCGGUGGCGAAGGCGGCAUCCUGGACCAAUUCUGACACUGAGGAGCGAAAGCCAGGGGAGCAAACGGG